AGUGAACGCUGGCGGUAGGCCUAACACAUGCAAGUCGAACGGCAGCACAGUAAGAGCUUGCUCUUACGGGUGGCGAGUGGCGGACGGGUGAGGAAUACAUCGGAAUCUACUUUUUCGUGGGGGAUAACGUAGGGAAACUUACGCUAAUACCGCAUACGACCUACGGGUGAAAGCAGGGGAUCUCCGGACCUUGCGCGAUUGAAUGAGCCGAUGUCGGAUUAGCUAGUUGGCGGGGUAAAGGCCCACCAAGGCGACGAUCCGUAGCUGGUCUGAGAGGAUGAUCAGCCACACUGGAACUGAGACACGGCCCAGACUCCUACGGGAGGCAGCAGUGGGGAAUAUUGGACAAUGGGCGCAAGCCUGAUCCAGCCAUACCGCGUGGGUGAAGAAGGCCUUCGGGUUGUAAAGCCCUUUUGUUGGGAAAGAAAAGCAGCAGGUUAAUACCCCGCUGUUCUGACGGUACCCAAAGAAUAAGCACCGGCUAACUUCGUG
rnacentral:rRNA from 1 species